UAGCUCUUCCUAUCAUUAUGAAGUAGAAUUCAUCAAGUGUUGGAUUGUUCACCCACCAAUUCAGAACGUGGCUAGGUUUAGACUGUCUUGAGAUGGGUU
rnacentral:ncRNA from 1 species